rnacentral:rRNA from 1 species
AACGAACGCUGGCGGCAGGCCUAACACAUGCAAGUCGAGCGAACCCUUCGGGGUUAGCGGCGGACGGGUUAGUAACGCGUGGGAAUAUACCCUUUGGUACGGAAUAGCCUCGGGAAACUGAGAGUAAUACCGUAUGUGCCCUUCGGGGGAAAGAUUUAUCGCCAAAGGAUUAGCCCGCGUUGGAUUAGAUAGUUGGUGGGGUAAUGGCCUACCAAGUCUACGAUCCAUAGCUGGUUUGAGAGGAUGAUCAGCAACACUGGGACUGAGACACGGCCCAGACUCCUACGGGAGGCAGCAGUGGGGAAUCUUAGACAAUGGGCGCAAGCCUGAUCUAGCCAUGCCGCGUGGACGAUGAAGGCCUUAGGGUUGUAAAACUCUUUCGCUGGGGAAGAUAAUGACGGUACCCAGUAAAGAAACCCCGGCUAACUCCGUG